CACGUAGGAGGCGAGCGUUAUCCGGAUUUACUGGGCGUAAAGCGCGUGUAGGCGGUUCGGUAAGUUGGAUGUGAAAUCUCCUGGCUCAACUAGGAGAGGUCGUUCAAUACUGCCAGACUAGAGGACGGUAGAGGAAGGUAGAAUUCCCGGUGUAGUGGUGAAAUGCGUAGAUAUCGGGAGGAAUACCAGUGGCGAAGGCGGCCUUCUGGGCCGUUCCUGACGCUCAGACGCGAAAGCGUGGGUAGCGAAC
rnacentral:rRNA from 1 species